AGCGAAAAAAAAAUAAUUGUACGCACUGCCGUAGUGGUGGCCUGCUGGCUGCUGCUUAUGCCUGAUGCUUCACUUCGUGAUAACUCUUCCCUCUGCCCGUUUUGGUUUCAGCAGCUUCAGCCUCCGUUCUGCCAGGUCACUGGUGGCGGUGUCAGCGCUAGGAAUUCCCUUCCUGAUCCCGCCUGAGCUGCUGUGAGAGACUCUGCCGAGGGAAGUCGGGGACAGUACCUCAUUGUCUGUGAAGACAGUCUACAUUCUGCCACUACUUUGAUGAGCUGGUUACUGGGCCACUGCUGCUAAAGAUGUACUUCAGCUCCAGCUCCUACUGACAAUCAUACUGUGUCUCCAAUGAAAGACUGUGGUGAGAUUUGGUAACUGUACUGGAUGGGUAAACAGUGGCAUUUACUGAAAAAUGUGCAUUUGUUAGAAGGUUUCAACCCAUGCAGGUACAUUGAAAGUUGAAGGUAUUUCACUGGCAUGCUGGGGUUUUUUUUUCUUUCUCCAGUAACAGCAUUUAAUAUAUUGAAAUUAGCUUUGUUGAAGCAUGUUUAUUUAUUGAUGAUUUGGGGAUAUUUUUGCCUAGCAAAUAUCCAAAUCUUUUUUUGUGUGUGCAUACAUUGUGAAGCCAUACUUGCUGUAUUUUCAUAUUCAGGAGAUUGUGUUCUAUUAGUUUAAUUAAUUAGUACUUUUUGGUAGCAAACCAAUUUGAAUUGCUAGACAGAACCAACCAUGUUAAAAAAGCUCAUAAAUUACCUGUUGUGAUCCAUCAUCAUUUAUCUUUUUACUUAGAUCAAAGGAAGGGGGUUGCAGAUUGUCCCAGUCAGUGUGUUAGUGUGCAGAAGGAAGGAUUUAUUGUUAGAUGUCUCCAUCUGGGCACACAGCUUGGACUGGGAAGGAUGUCCUAGGGGAGCACUGGGCACUGAGCUCCUAAACCAGUAAUCAGCCCACAGUUUGAACAGUGACCCUCUCUGUGCAGAGGAUGGGGAUCCUCAAUAACCCCACAUGGAGGAGCCUGGCAAGCAGCCUGCUGAGCCAGUCUGUCCUCUGCCUCAGAAAAAGUGCCUUUCUUCACUGGGGACUCCUUGAACAAAACUCAUGGAAGUAAGUGCUGUGCUCAUUUUUAUUCUAAGUAUAGCAAGGGAUCAUGAUUGUAUAAUGCCACCAGAGGAAGAAGGUUCAUUCUCCAUAGCAAUAAGCUCAGGGUUCAGAACAGUCAUCUGUGAUGUGAUAGACAGGAUUUCAGUCCCCUCUCCUGUCUGAUGGGAAUUCAAAACUGCAUCUUCCAUCUUUAAGGAAAAUCUCUGCAUAGCCCAUUGGGUGUACCAGUCCCUGCUAUAAAAACCUUUUGUACCACUUGUAUAAAGACUGUUCAUUAUAAUAUCAAGAUGUACCUAAAUAAGCCUCAGAGGAGGGUUAGUGCUCUGUUCAGCAUAAUGCUUGCUUCUUUUCUCUGUGCUGGUUUUUCCAAAGGAGAAGUGGUAAAAUUGUCUGUCUUCUGAAAUGGCUUCUAUGUUAGUGAUGAGCAAAGAGUGGGGAAUGAAAGUUUGAACCUGUUUAUGUCAUUGAAUAAAAUUUAUUCAUCUGUAUCCUAGAUGAAUGCUUUGGUUACUAAGACUGCAAGGAAUUUGUGUUGCUUCUGCACUGGGUCUCAUGAAGUUGGUGUUUUUGUUGUAUUCUUUUUAGCUCAAAUCCAUCAGAGACGGUGAGAACCUGAAGAACAUAGGAAAUGUCCUGCUGGGCUUGAUAGGAGUCCUGUGGCCCAGGGCUUGGUCUGAGAUCUUGAUCUCUCAUAUUUCCACCUCCCCAGGCUCCUGGCUGUCCAGAGUGGCCUGUGUUAGGAGUGUUAGAGAGUACCCCUGCUCUCAGGGUCCUUUUUUGGAUCUCAUUUCUUUGGAACACACAAUACUGUCUGCCCUCACCACUCCCUAUGGCAGCACCUUGCAGAAAUCCUCUACCAAGCAUUUGACAAUUUUCUUGAAUUCAGACUGGGCCACAUGCUGCUUCAAUGAAACUCUGUCUGGCUUUGAUGAGCCACUGCCUGUGAGCCUGUGUGGGCAGAGAGGCAUGGGGGUCCUGGGGACACUGAUUUCAGCAGUAAAUUGUGACAGUGCAAGAACUGGAUCAGAAGGAUGGUAUUAAAACCCUGGAGUGAGACUGUGAGAAACAGGCUCCAUACCUGGCUGCACUUUAGGCUGUCUUUGGCAAGUGUCAACCUGAGAUGCCUGUGGCUCAGUGCGAUUGUCUUCUCAGUAUCAGCACAAUGACAAUGAAAUGUGAACUUGUGCACACUUUCCAGAGUGGGGUGGAAGAUGGGAAAGGUCGAAGUCCUACAAUUGGAAUGCUGGACCUCCAAGUUAUGACUCUUCCUUUGGGCCAGUCUUGGUGUAGCAAAGGUUCCUAUGAACUGCGCUGAGGGAUACUGCUGAGUGCUCCAACUGUCCAUCUGUCCUCCUUUACUCUCUGCUGCCAGUAAAGCAAUACAAAAGAAAUAUUGUGUGCUUUCAGAGAGCAAAUUUCAAAGAAAGAAUCAUCCAUCUUGUCCUGAAUCUGCCAGAAUGCUGUAGACAGCUAUGCUGCCUGAUGUUUACAGGGCAAGAUUGAACCAUUGAUUUUUUACAUGAAACUCGGCAUUACCCUGGACAAAUUGUUGUGAGGAUAACCUCACAGAGGCUGGCUCGUGCCAUGAACAAAUGUGGAGUGUGGAAGACUGAAAAAUGAUUUUUUCAAGGGCUGAUCAGUUUUGGUGCCUCCCAGCUACCACCAGCUACCAGCUACCAUGAUCAGGACUUCUUACAAAGAACAUGAAAAGUGUCUAUAGAGCUGUUAAAUAGCAAAAAGACACCAGUUUCAUGAAGAAUGUCAUCAAGGAGGACAUGGGAAGGGCAAAUUUUGGCUCAUCUACUACAUUGGCAGCUCUAAGAAAAGGAGACCUCAAACAUGGGACAGCUAUGGGAUCUACUAAAAGAAAAUGACAGUCACAGAAGAAGAGUAUGCUUAUCUCUGCUUAUGAUACAGAAGGUGUGUUGGUAUAUUUCCCUGCCAAUUUUGAAUUUCACAAAUGAUGAAUCCAAACAUAAGGACAGAAGAGUAAGAUAAUUUAAGCCCAUAUUUGGACUUUGAUGGUAAUGGAGAAAGAGUGGAGAAACUAUAAUUUUGAAUUAGCAAGCUCAAUUGAUAAGUGUCCAGAAAAGAAGGACCAUAGAGACAGAGUCAUGUUAUCUGUUUUCAAAUGUGAUCCUUUCACAUUAGGGUUGUGGACAGCUGUGUUUGUAGUGGGAAAUGAUUAUUGUUGGUGGUGUUUCCUGUGCUAUCCAUGGUCCAUGGGUAAAUAACUCUGAUGUCAAGGCUGUCUAUUUGUUACCUGUCAUAAACAAUAGAUUGUACUUGCUUGCUUGUUAAUUCUAUAUAAGUCUAGUUUCUGGGGUCACCCUCUUGAAACAUACACAGUCUUUCUUCAAGGUGUGUUGUGCUUAUAAAUGAUAAAGCUACAGCCUUUAUGAUUUUUGUAUCAUUCUUCUCUAGCUUCUACUUGUCACUUGUUACUUCUCCUGCUGAGUUUGGCAGUUCUAGUUAUUGAAUUAAAACUUUAUAUAAUUAUACUACCACCCCCUAAAAAAUAAUAAUAAUAAAAAAAAACCAGAAAAGAAAGCCCUUUCUUUGUUAAUGUCUAUCAAGAUGAGGACCAAUUUAAAUCAGCCUGGAGCUUUUCUGCUUCAGCAUUAAUCAUGAACUGCAGAAAGCCAUGUGUAUUAGCACUUUUUGCCAUUUAUAAGCUUAUGUUUUGAUGGUGGUAAAAUUCAGUAGUUUAGUAAUUUAUCCUGGAACUAAGCUGUGAACACCAAAAAUAAUCAUGUGCCUUUUGCAAUUUACUGGUUUUUGCUUAAAGGAUUAGAAUUGAGUGCACAAGUACACAUUUUCCAAACUGUGGCCAUUGUUGACCAGACUUGCACUGCUCAAGAUUCCUGUGUAUCAUUAUGGUGAGGGGAAGGCAGUCACAAUCUCUGAGGGCAAGGAGAUGGCAUCUAGCUCUCCUCCCAGGGUGAUCUGAAAGCACUUCAUCAAAUGGGAAAAUAACCAUCCUACAUGCCUGAUCUUGACUAUGAAAUAAAUGGAGA